GUGUCAGCCGCCGCGGUAAUACGUAGGUGGCAAGCGUUGUCCGGAAUUAUUGGGCGUAAAGCGCGCGCAGGCGGCCUCUUAAGUCUGAUGUGAAAGCCCCCGGCUCAACCGGGGAGGGCCAUUGGAAACUGGGAGGCUUGAGUAUAGGAGAGAAGAGUGGAAUUCCACGUGUAGCGGUGAAAUGCGUAGAGAUGUGGAGGAACACCAGUGGCGAAGGCGACUCUUUGGCCUAUAACUGACGCUGAGGCGCGAAAGCGUGGGGAGCAAACAGGAUUAGAUACCCCCGUAGUCC
rnacentral:rRNA from 2 species